GCCAGUGUGGCUCAGUGGUUUGAGUGUUGGACUAUGAAUCUGGAGACCAGGGUUUGGAUCCCAGCUCAGCCA